ACAAACCUCCCUUGUAUGAUUCUAAUGCAAAGUGGCCUGGCAAUUUGGGUGUUAUUUUCUUUCCCCUGGUUUUUCUUUCUUAACUUUGCCCUUCAUUUUUCAUUGCAUUUCACACACACACCCCGCAACAGAAGGUAAAAUGGUGACUUGGAGCCCAGGCGCUUUCCGAUCGAGUCUUCAUUCAAAAAACGUGACCUUUUCCGCUCCGAUUCUGUGUGUUCUGAUGGAGCAGCUGCAAACAAAUGCUGAAAAGAACAAUUAAAGUUAAAUGUUAAUUUGCAAAAUAAUGCCACCUUUGUUUCACAUCAUGCACAUCAUACGUAAUGCGGGCCCAGCCUUCUGGGGAAAUAUACUCAGGAGGAGGCCUGUUCAGUGGCUAAUGUUGAGAAACGGUAGUAUAUCAUAGAUGCUAUUUUAAGAGGGAACCAGAGGGUGCAAAGCAGCUGGCUGGCUGGGUAGCAGGCAAAUCAACCUCAGUUUUUCUGUAGCGGGUCAGGAAAUGGUCCAGAGUUCCCUAAGAACAUAGGGAGCAUAUGGCUGCUUUGUUACAACAGCUCCGCUGGAUGCUGGUCUGUUUCCAGGCACAAUCGAAAGUGCUGGUUAUGACCUAUGAAGCCCUCCAUGGCUUAGGUCCAGGCUAUAUAAAAGACCAUAUUCCCUCACAUGAUCCUGCCUGGGUUCUGAGCUCUUCAGGGAAAGUCCUUCUCUCAGCCCCACCACCCUGGGAACAAUGGAGAGGGCCUUCUCGGAGGUGGCUCCCUUCGUAAAGAAGUUAGCCAGUGUGGUGUAGUGGUUAAGAGCGGUAGACUCGUAAUCUGGUGAACCGGGUUCGCGUCUCUGCUCCUCCACAUGCAGCUGCUGGGUGACCUUGGGCUAGUCACACUUCUCUGAAGUCUCUCAGCCCCACUCACCUCACAGAGUGUUUGUUGUGCGGGAGGAAGGGAAAAGAGAAUGUUAGCCGUUUUGAGACUCCUUUGGGUAGUGAGAAAGCAGGAUAUCAAAUCCAAACUCUUCUUCUUCUUCUUUCCUUCUUGUCCUUCCGACGGCAGGCGAAGACCUUAUUGUUGCAACUGGCUUUGGUGGAACUGACUUCUUGUAAUGAAAAGGCUGGGGCAGACUUUGGUAACAUGGCACCCUGAGUGAGGAAAGAAAUCGACACACACACCUCUCCAAAUAUUUCUCGUUUUCACGAGAACAGAGUUUGUAAAAGUGCCCACUCCUCUCUCACCUUCCGCUCUGUGCAUGCUCCCAAGAGACCACCCCCCCUUACCUAAAUCUGGUGUUCCUGUGGGCCCCCUGGC